GGGUAUAAUUAUCCCCUCACUUACAGCAGUGAAGACAAAUGGAUGUAAAUGGAUUUACUCUUGUUUACACUGGCCUAAGUUAAUGGAGAAUGAGACCUUGCUCUUUGUGUAUGGAAACAUAACUGUGAAUGAUCGUCACUUGGAUCACUGUGUAUUUUGCAGGGAUGGUAUAUGUAGACCUUAAAGCUUGACACACAUUUUUUUGUUUAUAAUUUACUGUGGGCAGUAAAUUGUUUUUUGUACAGUGAUAAGAAACGGCAAUUGAGCAGGGGCUGCAGAAGCUGCUCCAGAGCCAUGUACUGAAUAUGAAGUUAAUUUUGUUCUCCAAGGUACUGCUGAACUUAAUUGGAAAUAGCACAAAUUUGACCCAUCUCCAAGGGUGAUGGAACUAGAGGUGUUAGGAUGAAAUUGUUUCCAUUAGAUGCAGGGUUUACAAUUUUGUUCAAUGGCUUUCAGCACCCCAACUAUAAAAAUUGUUGCAAUGCCACUGCCCAUCUCAGGAGCUACACUGUCACCUUUUCUGUACAUCCCAGUACUUAAAUGGUCCCACAGUAAAAUGCAUGAUAUUCAGCUUAUCUUACAGAGAAGGGUGAAGGACUGAAUUAAUCAUGCCACUAUUUGUGGAAUCUGUUCCAGAGUGUCAAGAUAUUUAAAAUCUGACGCUCACAGCACUAAGUCAUUCCCUCCAGGGAUGACAAUAAUAAAAAUAACAAAUAGUGAAUAAAAAAUUAAACUACACUGACUGUCUGAAGUGGCUUUUUGACACUUGUUUGGGGCAGCAACUUGGCUUUAGGAGAGUGAGGUUAGUGCAGCACCUCCCGGAAGAAGAGGGGGAUAGCAUUACAGUUUAAUUUCCUAAUGACCUUUGAAGCAGCAUUCUGAACAGAUAUGAGCAGAGCAAGCUUGCAUGUGUCAAGGCCAGGGAAGAGGAUGUUGCAAAAUUGAGAUGAGAGCCUGGAUGAGAGGUUUUUAACUGUGUGGGUGGAUGUUGUAUCAAUACAAGAAGUAACCAUAUACUUUAGGCCAGAACCUCAGCUGGUGUAAAUCAGCAUAACUCCAUGGAACUAAAAAACAACAACAACAAAAGAAUAGUGCCUAGUAGUGUCUCCAUGAGAGAGCAUGGUGUGUGUCUCCUAUGCAACAUGCUGCACUAAUUCUGCCUCACGAAAUGGCAGCUGCCCCUCCAGAUAGGCAGAUUCCUUGGAAAUUUAAAGGUGAAACCCAAAGAGAAAACAAAGUCUUAACACUUACCUAGUUUGUAAAUUUGAGUUAGAGUAGUCAUGUGGGAACUCUGUGUUGAAACUGGCUGAAGGUACCUGAUAGGAAGGGCAACUGGCAAAUUGCUUUUACUUCAAUUCCUUAUAUCGUCUACAGGUCAAACAACAGCAUAAUCAUUUCAUAUCCUUAAGUAAUAAUUGUCAUCAGCUUUAAUUUCAGUGGCUUUCCCCCUUCCUAAACUUUUAUCCUGUAACUGCUGGUCAGUGCAGUUCUUCAUUAUCUGCCCUUUUAUUUCUGCCAGUUCCCAAUGACUUCUUGACAAAACCUCACUUUCCUCUUUCUCUGUAAUUUUCUUUGAAAACCUUCUGGCCUAGGCUUUAAAGAUGGAUUCUUUAGUCCAUGCUAUACCUGCUUUUUUUGACAUCUCUAAUCUAAGUGAAUUGAAUCUAUUAUAUAAUGGAUUGUUUGUUAAGCCCCAGUAUAGCAUUCUUAUGGAAACUAAAGUCCCACCACCUAUAAGCAACCAAACUUGUCUGUCAGACUGAACCAAACAAAGGACCCUUUGGAAAUCUUAGACUUAAACACGUGCAGUAAGUUCAGCUGCUGCCUCCUGCCACUCUUCAGCGACAUUUCAUUGAGGUGACAGAGUGCUUCCUUUAGAGCUAAUGUGGGAUGAUGACAUCAUCUCUCUAUACAUUCACAUGUUGUGCAUCCCUAGGGAGAAUAGAUCCCAUUAAUGUUUAGGAACAGACAUGUUCCAAGGAGAGUUUAAUCAAGCAGUAAAACCUUAGUGUGACUUUAACAAUAUUACUGUAAUUUGUUUUCACUUUUAAUAUGCUUUACUUCAUUCCGUAUGCCCUAGUUGUGCAAGGGAGAAGAAAUCUGCAUAAUCAUUAUAGACUUUGUUAGUGGACAGGCUGGUGAAGUGGCCUUAUAUAACAUAAUGAUAUGGCACAAAGCAGCCUUCAAAGGGAACACGUGCACUGGUAAAGCACAACACAACACACAGGGAAGCAGACGACCAUCAUGGUGUGCAUGCUCAAAAAAGUUCCUCCUCUUCCAUUUUGAAGGCACGAACCCUGACUGUCCAAGGGAUGGACCCCAACUGUCCCAUGCAACGAACCCUGACUCCGCAAUGAAUCCAGGACAGAACCAAUGAAAACUGGAAACGCUGGACCACAGGAACAGUGGAACAGGAUGCGACGAUCACCAGCUCCUAGAGUCUUUUUAUUGCAUGAGAAUCCCAGCUUUCGUUAACAGGCUUUUCUCUGCAACUCCGAGGGGCAAAAACUUUUUAGAAACUGAAACGAUAAAGACUCACAAUCAGCAGGCA